UACAGAGGUUGCAAGCGUUGUUCGGAAUUACUGGGCGUAAAGGGCGCGUAGGCGGCCAUCUAAGUCAGACGUGAAAUCCCCCGGCUUAACCUGGGAACUGCGUCUGAUACUGGACGGCUUGAGUAUGGGAGAGGGAUGUAGAAUUCCAGGUGUAGCGGUGAAAUGCGUAGAUAUCUGGAGGAAUACCGGUGGCGAAGGCGGCAUCCUGGACCAUUACUGACGCUGAGGCGCGAAAGCGUGGGGAGCAAACAGG
rnacentral:rRNA from 1 species